AACGAACGCUGGCGGCAUGCCUAACACAUGCAAGUCGAACGAGACCUUCGGGUCUAGUGGCUCACGGGUGCGUAACGCGUGGGAACCUGCCCUUAGGCUCGGAAUAACUCUCCGUAAGGGGUGCUAAUAUCGGAUAAUGUCUUCGGACCAAAGAUUUAUCGCCUUUGGAUGGGCCCGCGUUGGAUUAGCUAGUUGGUAGGGUAAAAGCCUACCAAGGCGACGAUCCAUAGCUGGUCUGAGAGGAUGAUCAGCCACACUGGGACUGAGACACGGCCCAGACUCCUACGGGAGGCAGCAGUGGGGAAUAUUGGACAAUGGGCGAAGGCCUGAUCCAGCAAUGCCGCGUGAGUGAUGAAGGCCUUAGGGUUGUAAAGCUCUUUUACCCGGGAUGAUAAUGACAGUACCGGGAGAAUAAGCUCCGGCUAACUCCGUG
rnacentral:rRNA from 1 species